rnacentral:sRNA from 1 species
UUUGUUUUUGUUGACGCUUUUCUUAGCUUACCUGAGUAUGACAUUCUCGGGUGAAUUUCGGCGUUCAUCAGCAUAGGUUAGGAAAAGAGGAAAAUAAAGAAAAUACCUCUAAAGAUGUCAUUUCUAAAAUUGGAUUGGAAGAACAGAGGUAGGGAUGGGGAUUGGUGAAAAAGAAAAAUUAAUUUGAGGAAAAAAUAUGAAGAGAAAGUAGUAUGAAACAUUUUUUCUUUAAAAAAGAUGUAAUCCUGAGAGUCAUAAAGAGGUCAUACGUGGUGAAGUCCCAUUUCACAUUAGAAAAACCUAGAAAAAAUCAUAGAGGCAGAUAUCUGUUAAAUUUAAAGGAUUGCAUUCUACUUCUGGAAAUGAAUUCAAAUAUAAACAAAUGGAAUCAGAAAGAACUACUUUUGAUCGGAAGGGACAUCUUCAACGUAGAAUCACAUAUUAAAAAAGUCACAAAAAGUUAAUAAAUGCUCUAAUCAAAGAAUCUAUAUUAAAAAUUGCU